AGUAUUAAUAAGCCAGCAUUGGUCCUUCUGCUCUAAAAAAUCCAUUAGUCAAACAUUUACUGCAUACCUAAAACAAUGAGCCUCCUUUUGAGGACAGCCGACGUCUUUUGAUUAACACCUUCAUCAUUUAAAGUAAAACUGUAAUUGUCAGCCAAGUCCAUUUGACAAUAGGCACAAAAGAUGGAAAAACACACUGGAAUUAGGGUGUGGUCCACUUUGGAUUCCAUCCCGAUAACCCUGGGAAGGAAGACUCCUUUCCCAGCAGAGCCAUACACUCAGAAACAGCCAAUACUGACUCUCUAAGACCUGUUAAAAAUAAUUUCUUUAUGAUAACGUGGAAACACCAGGCCAAAAAAAAAAAAAAAAAAAAAUCACAAUCCGCUUUCCGUUCUAACGUUCGUCAAGUGGGCUAUUUAUGGAUCCAGACUUUUGAUUUGUAAAACACCGUGUCAGGGGUAUGUCAUCUUUUUGUUGAUUUCCAGUUGAACAGGCUAAGCAGUUGUAAAUACCUCUUGUCAGACUACGUGUGGCUUUUUCUCCCACACAGAGGCCGUCUAGUAACCCACUGGGCAGAUUCCGCAGAGAGCCACCGUGGAAAGCUCUCGCACGCAGCCCAUGAACGGCUCCAGAGCAAAGGAGGGACCGUGAAGGAAGCGGGAGGUGAUGGGUACGGAGGUGGCCGUGGCCUGGGCCUCUAGUUAUGGGGGCACCAACCUUCAUGCUUGCAGUUGCGUGUUCUCCUUGGAUUAUGUUCUACAGAUGUGUUUUAACGGCUACCGUACAGAGCGAGAUGAGGAAGCAAUGGAGACUCAUCGUGACAGGCAAAGGGCACAGAGGGUGAUCCUUUUCAGUGAUGUGACCCUCACCUGCCACCAAGGGGGAAGGCUUUAGGGAGAGCUGCUGCAGCCAGACCACAAGCUUGUGCCAAAGCCACUCUGAAUCCGAAUAUCACCAGCAGGGGCCUGGAAGAAGGUCACGAUGCCACAAGUAAGCGUUUGCUUUCUAUUUUAUACCUACCGUUCAGAAAAAAAAAAAGAAACUUUGGGCAUGGAAAAACAGAGGGAUA
rnacentral:lncRNA from 1 species